rnacentral:tRNA from 1 species
GCCUCGUUAGCGCAGUAGGCAGCGCGUCAGUCUGAAUACCUGAAGGUCGUGAGUUCGAUCCUCCCACGGGGCA